GAUGAACGCUGGCGGCGUGCCUAAUACAUGCAAGUCGAGCGAACGGACGAGAAGCUUGCUUCCCUGAUGUUAGCGGCGGACGGGUGAGUAACACGUGGAUAACCUACCUAUAAGACUGGGAUAACUUCGGGAAACCGGAGCUAAUACCGGAUAAUAUUUUGAACCGCAUGGUUCAAAAGUGAAAGACGGUCUUGCUGUCACUUAUAGAUGGAUCCGCGCUGCAUUAGCUAGUUGGUAAGGUAACGGCUUACCAAGGCAACGAUGCAUAGCCGACCUGAGAGGGUGAUCGGCCACACGGGAACUGAGACACGGUCCAGACUCCUACGGGAGGCAGCAGUAGGGAAUCUUCCGCAAUGGGCGAAAGCCUGACGGAGCAACGCCGCGUGAGUGAUGAAGGUCUUCGGAUCGUAAAACUCUGUUAUUAGGGAAGAACAUAUGUGUAAGUAACUGUGCACAUCUUGACGGUACCUAAUCAGAAAGCCACGGCUAACUACGUG
rnacentral:rRNA from 1 species